rnacentral:rRNA from 1 species
GUGAAUUGCCUGGCUUUCAAUCCUUUCAAUGAAUGGGUUGUUGCAACUGGUUCAGCGGACAAGACUGUGAAAUUAUUUGAUCUUCGGAAGAUUGAUACUUCGCUGCACACUUUUGACUGUCACAAAGAGGAAGUAUUUCAAGUUGGAUGGAGCCCAAAGAAUGAAACUAUACUUGCAUCUUGUUGUUUGGGAAGGAGGCUGAUGGUUUGGGAUCUAAGCAGAAUUGAUCAGGAGCAAACACCAGAGGACGCGGAGGACGGCCCUCCUGAGCUCUUGUUCAUUCAUGGAGGCCACACAAGCAAAAUCUCUGACUUCUCCUGGAACCCGUGUGAGGACUGGGUGCUUGCAAGCGUCGCUGAAGACAACAUCCUUCAGAUAUGGCAGAUGGCGGAGAACAUCUACCAUGAUGAGGAUGAUCUUCCCAGCGAUGAGCCGGCAAAGGCUUCGUGA